rnacentral:lncRNA from 1 species
UGAAGGCUUCAGUCUCUGUGUGUGCAUGGGGCUCUUACUACCCAUUGGGAGCAGGGGCCUGAGCAUUUUGAUCAUGCUGAGGGUCAGGAGUUAGACCCAGGUGGCCCUUCCCCGGGCGGCGGUGCCCCGUGGCACCUUCGAAAUGUCCUUAGCGAUUCAGUGGAGAGCUCAGAUGAUGAAUUCUUUGAUGCUAGAGAGGAGAUGGCAGAAGGGAAGAAUGCCAUCCUCAUCGGAAUGAGCCAGUGGAAUUCAAAUGACCUGGCGGAACAGAUUGAGACCAUGGGGAAGCUAGAUGAGCAUCAAGGUGAGAUUCAGCCUCUCUCAUGACCAGGGUGUGCACAUAGCUGUGUUAUAGAGUGGAGGUAGGGCUGCCAACUGGGGCUUGGACUUGAGUGUUCUAUGAAGAGUCAUCUGUCUGGUUGUCUUCCUUCACAGCAUCCCU